rnacentral:lncRNA from 1 species
CCUUGAGGUGUCGUUUCAUCAGCCAGAAACCUCUGUUGCUGGCAGCACCUUCUGCCUGAGUAUUGCUCGUGCCCACUGGGCUUGUUCCGCCCACUUGGCCCGGCCACAGACUCCGACCGGAACUGACAGCGCGGCCUCCAGGAUUGAAGCCAUCCCUGGCUUGAAGUAGCCUAAGGAGAUUUGCUAGUUUGAGUCCUGGGAGAUGAGAUGGGGAAGAUGGGCCCAAGCUGCAACAUGAAGGUCCAUGAUGAACAGUUGGCAUCUCCUACAGUGCCUGCCACUUGGUAAUGUUCAAUGCAGCCAAGGGAGCUAAGGUAAUGAACAAAACAGAGAAGUUCCUACCCUCCCUGAUGUUCAUUCUAGCAAAUGGAGACAGAUGAUAGAAACUGCACAUCAUUGAGCAAGAGGGACACCAUGGAUAAUGGAAAGAUCUACGGCAAGGCUGGCUGUCUGCCCUGUCUAAGGAGGACGUACUGGACCAUCCUGCUCUGCACAUCCAGAUGUGUCCAUGAAUACAUCCAUAAAACGAUGGCCUGUGGAAUCCUAUAGGAAAAUGAUCCAGAGCCUGGGCGGUCAGAAGGAACAAACACUUGAUUUACAAAAUAAAUCUUCUAUGUUUAUGUUUUAAAGACACACAGAGGAAAAACAUUUUUAAAUUCAUGAUUUCCCCCCCCAGAUUUUAACUAUUGUAAUCUCUUUCUUUCCUGAGCCUUAGGCAUCUUCAUUAUAAACCAAAAGAUAUAACUUGAGAUUUUCCCAGGGUUUAUAUACUCGUUAGAGUUGGAAACAUGAAAAUGGCAAUUUGGGAUGUCUCUUUGGAGUCAAAAAC